rnacentral:hammerhead_ribozyme from 1 species
AUCCAACUGACAUGUCCCAAAUAGGACGGAACGCGCUUGCUGGAU